CCCUUAGAUGUUCUGGGCUGCACGCGCGCUACACUGAUGCAUCCAACAAGUUUUCUCCCUUGUUCGGUAGGACUGGGUAAUCUUUUGAGUAUGCAUCGUGAAGGGGAUAGAUUAUUGCAAUUAUUAAUCUUCAACGAGGAAUUCCUAGUAAGCGCGGGUCAUCAGCUCGUGCCGAUUACGUCCCUGCCCUUUGUACACACCGCCCGUCGCUCCUACCGAUUGAGUGAUCCAGUGAAUAAUUCGGACUGCAGCAAUGUUUGGAUCCCGAACGUUGCAGCGGAAAGUUUAGUGAACCUUAUCACUUAGAGGAAGGAGAAGUCGUAACA
rnacentral:rRNA from 1 species